rnacentral:rRNA from 1 species
AAUUCGAUUGAGUUUUACUCUGGCUCCGGAACGAACGCUGGCGGCAGGCCUAACACAUGCAAGUCGAGCGCUACCUUCGGGUGGAGCGGCGGACGGGUUAGCAACGCGUGGGAAUAUACCCUUCACUAUGGAAUAGCCUCGGGAAACUGAGAGUAAUACCAUAUACGCCCUUCGGGGGAAAGAUUUAUCGGUGAAGGAUUAGCCCGCGUAAGAUUAGAUAGUUGGUGGGGUAAUGGCCUACCAAGUCUACGAUCUUUAGCUGGUUUUAGAGGAUGAUCAGCAACACUGGGACUGAGGACGCGGCCCAGACUCCUUACGGGAGGCCAGCAGUGGGGAAUCUUAGACAAUUGGGCGAAAGUCUGAUCCUAGCCAUGCCGCGUGAGUGAUGAAGGUCUUAGGAUCGUAAAGCUCUUCUCUGUCUAGGGAUGAUAAUGACAGUACCUAGUAAAGAAGCCCCGGCUAACUCCGUGCCAGCAGCCGCGGUAAUACGGAGGGGGCUAGCGUUGUUCGGAAUUACUGGGCGUAAAGCGUACGUAGGCGGAUCAGAAAGUAUGGGGUGAAAUCCCAGGGCUUAACCCUGGAACUGCCUCAUAAACUCCUGGUCUUGAGUUCGAGAGAGGUGAGUGGAAUUCCAAGUGUAGAGGUGAAAUUCGUAGAUAUUUGGAGGAACACCAGUGGCGAAGGCGGCUCACUGGCUCGAUACUGACGCUGAGGUACGAAAGUGUGGGGAGCAAACAGGAUUAGAUACCCUGGUAGUCCACACCGUAAACGAUGAAUGCCAGACGUCAGCAAGCAUGCUUGUUGGUGUCACACCUAACGGAUUAAGCAUUCCGCCUGGGGAGUACGGUCGCAAGAUUAUGACUCAAAGGAAUUGACGGGGGCCCGCACAAGCGGUGGAGCUUGUGGUUGAUUCGUACGCACCGCCCGUCACACCAUGGGAGUUGGUUCUACCCGACGACGCUGCGCUAACCCUUCGGGGAGGCAGGCGGCCACGGUAGGAUCAGCGACUGGGGUGAAGUCGUAACAAGGUAGCCGCAAUAR